CUCAUCCGUCUCAUCCCUGAGCCCCAUGACCUUGGCCGCUGAGAUCUCAGCUAAUCCUGAGACGCGCCCCACCUUAAUUUAUAUCACAGUGCGGUGCCCUCCAAGAGGUGCCUCCAGCCACAGUCGGCUACUUAAAUGUGAAUGGCUUUGUUGUUGCUGUUCAGUUACCAAGUCGUGUCCGACGCUCUGUGACCCCGUGGACUACGGCCCGCCAGGCUCCUCUGUCCCCGGGAUCCUCCAGCAAGAAUACUGCAGCGGGCUGCCAUUUGCUCCCCCGGGUGCUCUUUCCAACCCAGGGAUCGAACUUGCGUCUCCUGCAUUGGCAGGCAGACUCUCUGCAACUGUGCCACCAGAGAAGUCAAAUAAAAUUUGAAAUUCCAUUCUGUGGCCACACGGGCCACAUAUCAAGAGCCCUGUGGCUGACCAAGGCCAGGGCUCCCGAGCUGGAGAGCCCAGACUCUAGAACAUUUCCGUGAAGGCAGAAAGUUCCACUGGACAGCGCCGUUGCAGAACAUUGGUUGGGAGUCUUAGUUACAGACACGAGAACCCUCUUCAGCAAGUUUAAGCGGAAAGGGAAUUAUCACAGAAUAGUAGGCCCUUGCAGAACCUUCGAGAGAGCUGGCGUGGAAGCCACACGGGCAGAGAUGACAUACCCCAGCUCCUCCCCCGGGCUGCUUGCAGAGUCCUGGUGGCCUCGCCGGCGACUCCCGCAUCCUCCCCCAACACGCGGCCCAGCUGGCUGGGACUCUGUGCCCGUUUGCUCCCAGGUCUGUGUCUGGGGGUCUCGGCCUCUGAAACCCCCCUUGCAGGAUGGCCUCAUCUCCCACGUGCAAUCCCUGCACCUCGUCCCUCCCCGCUGUAGCAGGACCCCUCGUCUGAGAUCCCGGCUCAUCAGGACAGGUCAUCACAUGACGAUGUCUUGGCCUGCAGCUCAGGCUGGGGGUGUCCUCUGGGACAGCUUGAUGGAGUCACGUUCGCAUCCUGGAAACCCUCCCCCCAUGGGGCCCAAGAGCCCAGACAAAGCCUGGAGCAUGUUGCUCGUGACCCACUGGGUCCCGCCAGCACCUGCCCCUUAAUGUCCAGCACCUGGGACCUGGGAGAGAGAGAGAAGCCCAGAACUGCAGGGGCUCCGGGCCCCCAGCCCUGCCCUGUUAGCCCUCAGCGGGCGGCCCUGCGGCCCUAACAAGGCCGAGUCCUCGAGACGUGCGGAGGACAUACCAAGGCAGCAGCCUUCAUCUCCUUCCUCCCGGCUCGAUCAGCCCCGCUGGUGAGACAGAAUUCUGCAGACAGCUCAGGAGGCUGCGGGUCUACCAGAGGGGCCCCACACACUCGUGUCUUGGGGGGACCCUUUGGUUCACGAAGGCCCUGGGCCCUUCAUCCUGCAAGCGCUCUCUUCACGUGACCGCAUCGAAGCCUACCCUUCAAAUGCCAUCACAGCGCGGGGGAGGGUUCACCAUGUGGGUUUGAAGGGACACAGCCCCGUGCAUCCCCCUGGCUCUGAGCCCCCCGGGCAGAAACAAAACCGUGUGGGUCCGGGAUGGUGAGCGCAGGUGAGCCCACACGCGGAAGCCUGACGGGGCCGGCUGGUCUCACGGGGCUGUCAGGAGCCAGGCUCAUAGCUGGUCAGGGCGGGCUUCCUGGAGGAGGCCCUGGGGAGGGUGCAGGGGCUGAGCCAUCAGCUUGCACAGCGCCCCUGUGCUGGGCGACCCCACCACCACCCCACUCCCAAAAGAGGCCUGGUCUACGCGCUGUCUCCCCUGGCCCGACAUCCUGCCCAGCGCUCCUGUCCAGGAUUCGGGCCUCAGAGUCUCAGAGGUGCUUUCUCUGAUGGUCCCGUCGGAGGCUGCCCUCCCCACCCCAGCCUGUACGCGUUCUCUCCNNNNNNNNNNNNNNNNNNNNNNNNNNNNNNNNNNNNNNNNNNNNNNNNNNNNNNNNNNNNNNNNNNNNNNNNNNNNNNNNNNNNNNNNNNNNNNNNNNNUCUCUCCCUCUCCCUCUCCCAUGGCCCUGCCUCGCCCCUCCUCGCACCAAGCACAAGCGCGCUGAUUCACCCUCCCCGCCUGCGUCUCUCUCCUCUGUCUCUCCUUGUCUCUCUGUCUCUGCUCCUUUCUGUCUCCCUGUCUCUCUAUCUCUCUCUCUCUCUCCCUGUCUCUCUGUCUCUCUGUCUCUUUGUCUCUCUCUCUCUCUCUGCUCCUGUCUGUCUCCCUCCCCACCUGCUUCUCCUGCUGGAACAGGAGCAGAGGUCUCGCCCACCUGUGUCUGCCUGAACCCCAGGGGCACCACCUGGCGUCCCCCGGGGUCCCAGCAGGGUCUGCAGGAGGAUGAAGGCAAGGCUGCACCAGCGUGGGGAGCAGCGCAGGGACNNNNNNNNNNNNNNNNNNNNNNNNNNNNNNNNNNNNCCCGUCCCCCUCCCCACCCCAAAGUCACUGUUCCCAAGGCCAAGCUCGCUCUGCUCGCCACACAACAGGCCUGUGAAUCCGGGACCAGGUGUUGAGGCAAGGAAACCGACUCGAUCCGGAAAGCCAGCUGACAGAGAAGACAGCAGGCUAGCUCCUCGAAAGAACCAUCUUAUCGGGGGCUGGACACCAGGAUCUUUACAGGUCAGACGUGGGGGGAGGUGAGGAAGCAAAGUAAAAAGACCAGUAACCUAGCAAACGUCUCCUAGAAUAGCAAGCCUUGGGCGGAGGAUGUGCUACUUUCUUCCCUCCUGCCAUCUAUAGGUGGACAGGGUUCUGAAGAAAGGCACUUUAGUUAACAGUCUGGCAGAGGGGCAGGGUCCUCUGAGGCAGGCAGCUCUGUAUGAUUAUAAUAACAAAAGCGACAAUCAGCAAGUCAGACAAACAGUUCCAACAUGGAGUCAGAAUUGUCUUCUCUCUGCAACAACUGGAAAACUUCAUUUCCGCACCUGGUAGCAGCCGAGAGCAGAAAAAUGCACGUGCUCAGACACUUGGAAGCCACAGGCUCAAACCCUGGGCCCUCCUGAGCUGCGAGAGGACCUGUCCCGUCUCAGGGGAAGGGACUAAGGGGUGACCUCGGGGCUGCCUUGUUCCUCCCCUCUAGGGGGAGCCAUGUGACGCUUGGGGACCACAGAAGGUGCCACGCGGGGCCCCCUGCUCCCUCGGUGGAGGCGUCCAGAGUAGCUCUUAUUACUGCUGCAGGCAGCGGCCCCUUCAGUGAAAUGACCCAUGGACACUAGCGUUUGCUUGAUCAGCAUCAAAUUCCGUAAAGCUGCCUCUUCUCCUUUUAAGCGUAGAACUAGGCCAGGGUUAAGAGAUGAGGACAACNNNNNNNNNNNNNNNNNNNNNNNNNNNNNNNNNNNNNNNNNNNNNNNNNNNNNNAUGGCCAACGUGGGAGUGUGUUUGAGGUCAAGUCAACAAGCCUAACCCCGUCGAGUGAUAACCUGCUUUGUGGGUGAAAGCUUUCUGAAGAAAUUGAUCUUCGUCUGUGUUUCAGUGUUUGUGACUAACCCGUGUAGCCACAGGACACUCGCAGUAUACACUUCAACUCACCCGAAUGCCGCUGGCUACUUCGAUCUCUGCCCUUCAGCCCAUUCAGAAGAUGUGCUAGCUGAGGCCAGGCGGAGCCUUUGGAAUCCAGGCUCCCAGCCCGCUGGCUUCAGGCUCCAGAGAGGCACUGCUGUGGAAAGCCGUGAGCUCGCCAGCGGGUAUUAGGUAAAACAGGAAGAGACCCUCACGGAGCAUCAGGGGCAACGGUCUGUACUGUGUCUCGAAGAGACUGGCAGCUGACACAGCAGGCUGGGGACCCCUCGUCAUGAUGAAGGAAAUCCGUGCUCAUGAAAAAUAUGACAAGCUGCCAGUAUUCGGUAUUCAGAAUACACACCUUUUCCAAUUGCUUGAAACAUCAUUUUUCAGUUGCUUAAAACAUUUAGGUUUUAAAAAAGUAAAAAUAAUAAAUGAUCUAAAACACACCUAAGCAUAUGGAACAGAUAUGGAACAAGAUAUGAAAUGAAUGAAGAAGCACUGAGCUGGGGUGAGGCUGAAGUUACGCCCUGGGCCAACCGCAGACCUGCAAACACACAAAGUAACAUUGCCAAGUCAUGGCCUGAAAAACAGAGCCCAUGGUGGACAUUCUCAAGCCUUGCAGCGUACCAGCUAUGAGUGAGAAAACAGGGGUAAUUCCUGUUGCAACGGACAGCGCUUCAGCGAUUCAGCCAAAGAAUUCAUGGGAAUUUUAAAAUAAGACACUGGUGGUUCCCUUAUUGCUUUAUUUCAUUGUGUAAUGCAUAUUGAAAAUAUUCGCAUUUGACUUUCUGAAGUAGACACGGUGAAGAGUGUCAGAGUGUUCUUUAACAUUUUUUUCAUUAAAUAUGUGCCAAUGUUAUGACUCUUCCUGAGUUUAUAGAACCAUUGAAAGAAAUUAAAGGCAAUGCUGCUGCUGCUGCUAAGUCGCUUCAGUCAUGUCUGACUCUGUGUGA
ensembl:lncRNA